AUUUCCCUCUAUAUAUACUUUGAAAGCUAACAACCCUUGCUGUCUUGAUUUCCCUAUCUAGUUCUAGUAGUAGUCGGAAUGCGUAGCUAGCUCCUCCGCAUCAGUCAGGCUAAUGAAUGAUGGGAAGGGAAUUAACAAAAGUAGCGCUUUCUAAGUUCUAAGAAGACAGGGAAGGGGAAGAGGCCAGGAAAGGGAGGGAAUCGAUACUUUAAGAGUAUUGGUUUGGGAUUCAAGACUCCUCGUGAGGCUACUGAAGGAGGGUGAUGUGUUUGGAGUUUUAUUUGACUAUGGCCUCUUGAUUAGACCUGACUAAUGAAAGUGAUCAGUUUGUUGUUGACAACAUAAGUGCACAGUUAGAGGAGUUAUUGAAUUCCUUGCAGCAGCAACACUCUACAGUUGCCUCUCCUCUGUAACUGCUAUUUGCUUGUCUCCACCUGAUUGUUGUUCAUUGUUGUCAUUGAUCACCAUUGGCAUAGUAGCCACAGUACCAUGCACCAAGGCCAACUGUUGCUGAGUUUCCACACCUAGCAUGCACCACAACUUCAGUGUUAUCAGUAUUAACUGCAUUGUUCUGUGCAUCUCCAAUUUUUCCAACUUCCUCCACUGCAUCAUGCACUUCAUUAUCCUUCCCUAAGGCUGCAAAUUUAUUAGCAGUGUGCACAGCACC